CUGGAGGACAUUAAAUAAGCCAGGCAGAGAGAGACAAAUACUGCAUGUUCUCACUCAUAUGUGGGAGCUAAGAAAGUUGACCUCAUGGAGGUAGUGAGUAGAAUGAUAGCUAUCAGAGGAUGGGAAGGGCAUAUGGGUGGGAGUGGCUAUGAAGAGAGGUUGGUUAAUGGGUACAAACACACAGUUAAAGUUCUAAUGUUUGAUACAAAGUUGGGUGACUAUAGUUAACAACAAUGUAUUAUAUAUUUCAAAAUAACUAGAAGAGAGGACUUGGAAUGUUCCUAAUAUAUAGGAAUGAUGGAUACCCCAAAUACCCUAAAUUGAUCAUCACAUUCUAUGCAUGUAACAAUAUCACAUGUGCCCUAUAUAAAUAUGUACAAAUACUAUGCAUUAAUUAAAAUUUAAAAAGCAAGACCAAGGUAUGUGCUAUUAAUGAGAAACCCAUUUUAAAUAUUAAGGUAGGUUAAAAGUGAAAAAAUAAGGAAAAAAAAACAGUGCAUGCAAGUACUGGUAAACUCUAAACAAGGUCUAUCAACAGUUUAGUAAUAGUAUUGUACCAAUGUCAACUUCAAGGUUUUAAUAAUAUGGUUACUUAAAAUGCUAUCUUUGGGGGAAGCUGGAUGAGAAUAGAACUCUCUGUAUUAUUUGUGUAAUUUUUCAUGUCUUUACCAGCAUCUAGGAAACAGACUAACACAUUAGAUUGUAAAUAGGGUAAACUCAAAUAGCAGACUUAGCAAUUUUGUUGAGAAAGGAAGGAUGCUGACAGACAUGGAUUUCUGGAUUAGGAAGGACAAGGAUCUGCAGGCCAGUUCAAGAAAAUAAGACUCCCAAGAUCCAGUAAUGAAUACUAUUGCCCAGUUGGCAGGAGACCCUACUUCUUCCUGUUUAUAUGUUGAGCUGCUAGAAGCAGGACUGAAAUAAGUUACCCAAAUAAUAACUUCAUUGUUGCUCACUCUCUUCGAGGCAGAAAGAAGAAAUGUUAUGACAACAGAGCAGCAAGUCCCAUGGUACCAGCUAAAAGGCGGUAUGGCUGUGACUGCUGAGGUGGAGAGUCCUCAAAGAUGAGGAAACAAGCCAAGAGUGGCUUGCCUGAGAUCACAAUCAUUCAGGAAAAUGAACCCAGAAGAUCUAAGUGCUCAUCCCACUAAUGGCUGGUCCUGUAACUUUCUUCUUCUAGUUCCUUUUAUAGAAUUCUUUUUCUGUUAUUUAACAAAACUGAAAAUCAAGAUUAUUCCUUUUCCUCAGUGGAUUCUAACUUUACUACGGUGAACCUGAAUGAAACAAAGUGAAAAUAAUUAGUAUAAGGCCUGGUAUAUUAUAAGACCAAGUAUUCAUAUGACUGACUUCCUAGAAGCAUAUAAAAACAGGCUAAUCCAAGAGUUCAAAAGUAUACAUGCUCAACUCAUUAAAAUCCCCACAUCUAUGGUUACACUAACUUAGAUGAAAACAACCAAGCAACUAUCGUUUCGUAGCAAUUGGCAGACUUUAAUAUUCAAGAAAAAUUAAUUUCAUCAUACACAUUAAAAAUAUAGGAAAUUUCAUGCAGACAUGAAGCUUCCAAUUCAGCUUUUGUGGCAACUUUUAGAAUGAGAGUUACAUAUAAAUACAGUACAUUUUACAGUUACCAAACUUCAUAAUUUUAUACUGUGAUUUAUACAGCUUCUCCUUAUAUUGUACAUAUUCCACCUUGCUCACUUGAUUAGCAUACCCUAUAUCUGCACUGCUUCAGAAUAUGGAAAUUAAAGAAAAAAACACAAGCACAAUGGACUAUCUCCUCGCAUUUCACAAAGUAAAUGAAAAUGUAUGUGUAUACAGCUAAUUUAAGAAAAACAUUUUAAACUUUAAGGCUUACAUACUUUAGUAGCUAGGACUAAAAUUAAGAAAUACAAAGUUAAAUAAAUCCUCCAGUGAUACUUCUAUUACUGAUUGAUACCACAUUUUCAAGUUUAGAAUAUAUUAACUGCAAAAGCUGUAAGAAAAAAAGUGAUGCAAAUUUGUAUAGAACAUUUAAAAAACAAUAUUCAUGAUACAAGGGAUAAAUUAACAAAUGAAGUAACUGAUUUCAGAAUUAACUAAAACAUAUGCUAUAAUUUAGAAAUGUAACAUUAUUAAAGAAAACCUAAUAGAAAAAAAAUUAAUAAAGCCAACCCACCAGUGUCAACCUGUUUUUGCCUGUGACAAAAACAAAGAUCAUUUGUUUUGAUACAAGUUGUAAAAAAGUGUAUACUAGUCAGUGAAUAAAAAGCAUGUCUAAGUCAUUCAAAAACAGCAUGCAUUCCUUUCUGUUCAAUUGAUUUUUAAAAAAUACUUAUGUACUUUGCAAGUUUUCUUCUUUAAAAACAAUAGUUUGAGUUUUUUUCUUCCUUGCCACUAAAUUCAAACUCAUUCAUGUAAGUAAUAAGAAUUUCCACCAAAUGAACAUCUGCUAAGUACUGAGGGACACAAAAAAGAGAUAUCUU